rnacentral:ncRNA from 2 species
UUUCUGCACUAGGGGUGCCCACUUUGGCUGAGAUGCAAGCGCAAGCUUCGAUCCCUCAAAACUCGAUCAGGAUAAUACCUGCGUGAGGAAGUGCGGCGCAUUUCUG